GUAGGGAAUAUUGCGCAAUGGGGGAAACCCUGACGCAGCGACGCCGCGUGAGUGAUGAAGGCCUUCGGGUCGUAAAGCUCUGUUGCAGGGGAAUAAAAAAAUGAAGGUACCCUGUGAGGAAGGAUCGGCUAACUUCGUGCCAGCAGCCGCGGUAAGACGAGGGAUCCUAGCGUUGCUCGGAAUCAUUGGGCGUAAAGAGGUCGUAGGUGGCUUGGUAAGUCAGGUGUGAAAGCCCAGGGCUCAACCCUGGAAGUGCAUUUGAUACUGCUGAGCUUGAGUGUCGGAGAGGUUACCGGAAUACCUGGUGUAGUGGUGAAAUACGUAGAUAUCAGGUGGAACACCGGAGGCGAAGGCGGGUAACUGGACGAACACUGACACUGAGGCCCGAAAGCGUGGGGAUCAAACAGGAUUAGAAACCCGGGUAGUCC
rnacentral:rRNA from 1 species